rnacentral:ncRNA from 13 species
GAUUGUAUUGAGCAUUGGUAUGGGAACCUGCUAAGUGGUAACUUCCAAAUUCAGAGAAACCCUGGAAUCAAAAAUGGGCCCUCCUGAGCCAAAUCCCUUUUUUGAAAAAACAAGUGGUUCUCAAACGAGAACCCAAAGGAAAAGGAUAGGUGCAGAGACUCAAUGGAAGCUGUUCUAACGAAUCGAGGUGUAAUUACGUUGUGUUGGUAAUGAAACUCCCUCUAAAUUAUUAAAUUAGAGAAAGAAGGACUUUAUACAUCUAAUACACACGUAUAGAUCCUGACAUAGCAAACGAUUAAUCACAGAACCAGUAUCAUAACAUAGGUUCUUUAUUUAUUUUUUAGAAUGAAAUUAGGAAUGAUUAUGAAAUAGAAAAUUCUGCAUUUUUUUAGAAUUAUUGUGAAUCCAUUCCACUCGAAUAUUGAAUAAUAAAAUCCUUCAAUUCAUUGUUUUUGAGAUUUUUUAUUUUAAAAAGAAGAUUAAUCGGACGAGGAUAAAGAGAGAGUCCCAUUCUACAUGUCAAUACUGACAACAAUGAAAUUUCUAGUAAAAGG